rnacentral:rRNA from 1 species
CCUACGGGAGGCUGCAGUGAGGAAUAUUGGUCAAUGGGCGGGAGCCUGAACCAGCCAAGUCGCGUGAGGGAAGACGGUCCUAUGGAUUGUAAACCUCUUUAGGCGGGGAGCAAUGCCGGGCACGCGUGCCCGGAGGGAGAGUACCCGCAGAAUAAGCAUCGGCUAACUCCGUGCCAGCAGCCGCGGUAAUACGGAGGAUGCGAGCGUUAUCCGGAUUGAUUGGGUUAAAAGGGUGCGUAGGCGGAUUUUUAAGUCAGCGGUAAAAUGUCCGGGCUCAACCCGGGCCGGCCGUUGAAACUGGGGAUCUUGAGUGGGCGAGAAGUAUGCGGAAUGCGUGGUGUAGCGGUGAAAUGCAUAGAUAUCACGCAGAACUCCGAUUGCGAAGGCAGCAUACCGGCGCCCGACUGACGCUGAGGCACGAAAGCGUGGGGAUCGAACAGGAUUAGAUACCCUAGUAGUC